rnacentral:rRNA from 1 species
GAUGAACGCUGGCGGCGUGCCUAAUACAUGCCAGUCGAGCGAACAGACGAGGAGCUUGCUCCUCUGACGUUAGCGGCGGACGGGUGAGUAACACGUGGAUAACCUACCUAUAAGACUGGGAUAACUUCGGGAAACCGGAGCUAAUACCGGAUAAUAUAUUGAACCGCAUGGUUCAAUAGUGAAAGACGGUUUUGCUGUCACUUAUAGAUGGAUCCGCGCCGCAUUAGCUAGUUGGUAAGGUAACGGCUUACCAAGGCAACGAUGCGUAGCCGACCUGAGAGGGUGAUCGGCCACACUGGAACUGAGACACGGUCCAGACUCCUACGGGAGGCAGCAGUAGGGAAUCUUCCGCAAUGGGCGAAAGCCUGACGGAGCAACGCCGCGUGAGUGAUGAAGGUCUUCGGAUCGUAAAACUCUGUUAUUACGGAAGAACAAAUGUGUAAGUAACUAUGCACGUCUUGACGGUACCUAAUCAGAAAGCCACGGCUAACUACGUG